CCUACGGGCGGCUGCAGUAGGGAAUAUUGGACAAUGGGUGCAAGCCUGAUCCAGCCAUGCCGCGUGCAGGAAGAAGGCCUUCUGGGUCGUAAACUGCUUUUGCCGGGGGAUAAAAUAGCUAUGCGUAGCGAAUUGAAGGUACCUGGUGAAUAAGCCACGGCUAACUACGUGCCAGCAGCCGCGGUAAUACGUAGGUGGCAAGCGUUGUCCGGAUUUAUUGGGUGCGUAGGCGGUGUAGGAGGUCAGUGGAGAAAUACGGCAGCUUAACUGUCGAGGUGCCAUUGAUACUGCUUGACUUGAGUACUGAUGAGGUAGGCGGAAUGGACGGUGUAGCGGUGAAAUGCUUAGAGAUCGUCCAGAACACCGAUAGCGAAGGCAGCUUACUAAGGAGUAACUGACGCUGAGGCACGAAAGUGUGGGGAUCAAACAGGAUUAGAUACCCCAGUAGUC
rnacentral:rRNA from 1 species